AUCCAUGGCUAACAUGAACUGCUUCCUGGAGGUAUUUGUGAAGCUUUCAUAACCGCUUGAAUAACCACAUAAUAGCGUCUUGAGUAACAGUCUUCAAGAUAGUGAUAACGCAGUCGACUGUCCGGCGGGGAGACCACCUUCGUUUGCUUCACAGGCUUUCCCGUUCAGGAAAAAACGUCGUAAACCUCACUCGCCAUGGUCUGACUUCUCAUUAAGGCCAGCAUCUACGUGGUGCGGAAGAUUCGGGCCUCUUUGAAGGAGGGGGAGCAGACCGAGGAACCGAUCGUCACGCCAUGUAGUCUGGCCAAAGGCGGUCAGAAGAAGCUGCCGGCGGCGAAUGGUGUGGCCCCGUUGAUUCCUGACCCUGAUACGUCAUCAAUGGGCGGGGCCUCGGGCCAGACGGCCGUGCAGAAAUGCAGCGCCACCUCCUGAAGUCGCUAGAGGUCGCGCCUGUGGGUCGCCAGGGGAAACGGCGCGCCAUUCCAAUGGUCGCGCAUUAUGAUGUCACAUCACGCCAUCACAGUAGUGCGGAAUUAUCAUGUCUCAACAUGGAAUCAUGACACUAGAUUUGUAUAACACGCCGACUUGAACCACCUAUCGCAGGUGUGCACCAUUACUUUGCAUGUGAACUCGUGCCCUACAAUGCCCUGUGACAGGUUAAGGUUGGGGGGGGGAUUAGUUUUAAAAGUUUAAAGGGUAGAAAUGUAGCUUUACUAACAGGUUAGGGUUGGGGAUGGGGAUAGUUGAGGGUCAGGGCACAUCUUAGCAUUUUCGUGCUUGGCAACAUAAAUUCGCCCCACCACAGCAAAGCCACUUGACUCACGUGAGCCUGAUCACUUGACAAAAACUGCUUUUCUGCGGCGUUGUACAGCACGAGUUACAUGCAGAGUAGUUGCACCAACAUGCGGAAUGCACUAGCGUGUAAUAACACACCUUUUCAUGAUGCCAGUCUGGAUGUCACACCAUCACAGUAGUGCGGCAUUGGGCACGUUCGCGAGUGCAUGUGCACUCUGAAAUUACAAUGCAUUUUAGUUCGAAAAUCCUAACCGGAAUGCAUUGCAAUGGGUACGUGCACAUGCACGCUGACUCUGUGCAGACGUGCCAAAUAUGAUGUCUAUACAGUAAAUAUUCUGUAACUGAGCAUUAAAUCAUCACAUCUUGUCGUAGAACAACCACAGCAUCCCCCUGUUCUCUUCUCCCCCUGGUAACUUGUCAGACGCGACCUCGACCUCAGAUCUCUCUCUCUCUCUCUCUCUCUCUCUCUCUCUCUCUCUCUCUCUCUCUCUCUCUCUCUCUCUCUCUCUCUCUCUCUCUCUCUCUCUCAGCUGUUUAUGAUGGUCUGUUCAUCAACCCUUCAUGGAGGGGCUGUUCAGAUCGGAUGUUUUUUUCAGCUGAAAUAACAUGUAUUACACACACACAAGUACUAUUUUGUAUCUUCAAUUUAGUGACACGUGUAACGUCCAUUCCGAAUACUGAAUACAGAUUUUUUUUUUUUUAAAGCAUCUGCAAAGAUAUGCCACGGUAAAUAAAGAUUUGUUUAAAGUUUUAACUCCA